AGGGCAUUCGGUGGAUGCCUUGGCGCUAAGAGGCGAUGAAGGACGUGGUACGCUGCGAUAAGCCCUGGGGAGCUGCGAACGAGCUUUGAUCCGGGGAUUUCCGAAUGGGGCAACCCACCUUCAGUGACCAGUGACUAGUGAACAGUGACCGGAUUUAUUCUGGUGACUGAUUACUGGUUACUGAUCACUAACAGAAGGUAUUUGAUCCUGAAUCCAUAGGGGUCAAAGGCGAACCCGGGGAACUGAAACAUCUCAGUACCCGGAGGAAAGGACAUCAACGAGACUCCGUCAGUAGCGGCGAGCGAACGCGGACCAGGCCAAUGCUCACAGUCUUCUCAACCGGAACCGUCUGGAAAGUCGGGCAUGAUGGGUGAUAGCCCCGUACGGGUUCAGGAAGCUGUGGGAUACGAGUAGGGCGGGACACGUGAAAUCCUGUCUGAACAUGGGGGGACCACCCUCCAAGCCUAAGUACUCCUUAGCGACCGAUAGCGAACCAGUACCGUGAGGGAAAGGUGAAAAGCACCCCGACGAGGGGAGUGAAACAGUCCCUGAAACCGGAUGCCUACAAACAGUGGGAGCCCAAGGUCUGUCCUGGGUGACCGCGUACCUUUUGUAUAAUGGGUCAGCGACUUAAAGUAGCGAGCAAGCUUAAGCCGUGAGGUGUAGGCGCAGCGAAAGCGAGUCUGAACAGGGCGUUCAGUUCGUUGCUUUAGACCCGAAACCGAGUGAUCUAGCCAUGAGCAGGUUGAAGGUGCGGUAACACGCACUGGAGGACCGAACCGGUGUCUGUUGAAAAAGCCUCGGAUGACUUGUGGUUAGGGGUGAAAGGCCAAUCAAACUCGGAGAUAGCUGGUUCUCCGCGAAAGCUAUUUAGGUAGCGCCUCGCGUUUAUGCUCCAGGGGGUAGAGCACUGGAUGGGCUAGGGCUGUCCACAACGGUACCAAACCUAACCAAACUCCGAAUACCUGGAAGACUUGCGCGGGAGACACACGGCGGGUGCUAACGUCCGUCGUGGAGAGGGAAACAACCCUGACCUACAGCUAAGGCCCCCAAUUCGUGGCUAAGUGGGAAAGGAUGUGGGAACCCCAAAACAACCAGGAGGUUGGCUUAGAAGCAGCCAUCCUUUAAAGAAAGCGUAACAGCUCACUGGUCUAAACAAGGGUUCCUGCGCCGACAAUGUAACGGGGCUCAAGCCACGAGCCGAAGCUUAGGAUCCGGUGACCAGUUAUCAGUGAACAGUAACCAGAAUGAACCUUGACAAACGAAGCGGCAAGCGUUGGGACGCGGAAGACCUUGAGGUCUUCCGGCGUGCUUAUGCCUUGUCGUUGGAGCUUCAUGGCGUGAGCCUGGAGUUUCCGAAGAGUGAGCAAUUCGGCGGUCUCGCCGAUCAGAUCAGGCGGUCUUCACGAUCCGUCUGCAGCCUGAUCGUUGAGGGUGCCGGUCGUCAACAGGCCUCUCCCCGGGAGUUCGGGCGCUAUCUUGUGAUGGCGAUCGGCUCUGCUGAGGAGACGCGGCUCUGGUGUCGCUAUUGCGCGGAUCUCGGGUUUGUUGCGAGCGAUCGUGCGGAUGUCUGGCGCGACGAGUUGCGUCAGAUUGUGCGCAUGUUGCAGGGUUUGAAGAACAGUCUCGCCGACCGGUGACGGUCUCGGGGUGUUCUGGUGACUGAUUACUGAUAACUGGUCACUGGGUGGUAGCGGAGCGUUCCGUAGGCCUGUGAAGGGAUACUCGUGAGAGGUCCUGGAGGUAUCGGAAGUGAGAAUGCUGACAUGAGUAACGACAAACAGCGUGAGAGACGCUGUCGCCGAAAGUCCAAGGGUUCCUGCGUAAAGUUAAUCUGCGCAGGGUUAGCCGGCUCCUAAGGCGAGGCCGAAAGGCGUAGUCGAUGGGAAUGCGGUGAAUAUUCCGCAGCCUGCGGGUGGUGACGGAUCUGAAGUGUUGUGCAUCCUUAUUGGAUUGGGUGUGCUUCUGGAUGGUCCCGGGAAAUAGCCCCCGCGUUAUAGACCGUACCCGAAACCGACACAGGUGGACUAGCAGAGUAUGCUAAGGCGCUUGAGAGAACGAUGCUGAAGGAACUCGGCAAAUUACCUCCGUAACUUCGGGAUAAGGAGGCCCUGUCAUCGGGCAACCGGUGGCGGGGGGCACAGACCAGGGGGUGGCGACUGUUUAGCAAAAACACAGGGCUCUGCGAAAUCGCAAGAUGACGUAUAGGGUCUGACGCCUGCCCGGUGCCGGAAGGUUAAGAGGAGAGGUGAGAGCUUUGAAUCGAAGCCCCGGUAAACGGCGGCCGUAACUAUAACGGUCCUAAGGUAGCGAAAUUCCUUGUCGGGUAAGUUCCGACCUGCACGAAUGGCGUAACGACUGCCCCACUGUCUCCAGCACCAACUCAGUGAAAUUGAACUCCCCGUGAAGAUGCGGGGUUCCUGCGGUCAGACGGAAAGACCCCG
rnacentral:rRNA from 1 species